UACGGAGGGUGCAGGCGUUAUCCGGAUUCACUGGGUUUAAAGGGUGCGUAGGCGGGCAGGUAAGUCCGUGGUGAAAAUCUCUGAGCUUAACUCAGAAACUGCCAUGGAUACUAUUUGUCUUGAAUGUUGUGGAGGUAAGCGGAAUAUGUCAUGUAGCGGUGAAAUGCUUAGAUAUGACAUAGAACACCAAAUUGCGAAGGCAGCUCACUACACGAAUAUUGACACUGAGGCACGAAAAGCGUGGGGGAUCAAACAGG
rnacentral:rRNA from 1 species